UAUGAGCCAUUUUCUUCAGUACGAAAGGACAAGAAAAUAAGACUAUACCCCCAGCAAGUCUUCACCCCCUGAAAUAAUAUCAAACCCCACGCACCAUCUCACCCAAAAACAGGGCC
rnacentral:rRNA from 1 species